AUCUCGUUGACGAUUGCAUUGGUAUCUUCGAGGACACCACCGUCAACGAAUAGGACCACUACGUUUGUGGCUUCCAACAUUCGCAUACAACACCAUGAUCGCACGCAGACAGCGUUGGAGACGUCAUAAGAGCGAUGGCUAUGAAUAAAAAAGGAUAAAACACUCGUUAACGACUGAAAAUGUCGCCACAAAAAAUUUGGUGCAGAUUCCGAAAAAAUUAGUAUGAAAUACCAACACAAUUUCACUGCAGAAACUUCAAUAAUGAAGUUAAAGACUAAUGGAACAUAAAUUGUGAUUGAAAAGAACUACGUACAGCGCUAUCCUUCAGGAUAAUUCUUUU
rnacentral:lncRNA from 1 species